rnacentral:rRNA from 1 species
UACGUAGGGUGCAAAGCGUUAAUCGGAAUUACUGGGCGUAAAGCGUGCGCAGGCGGCUUUGCAAGACAGAUGUGAAAUCCCCGGGCUUAACCUGGGACUGCAUUUGUGACUGCAUGGCUGGAGUGCGGCAGAGGGGGGAUGGAAUUCCAGGUGUAGCGGUGAAAUGCGUAGAUAUCUGGAGGAACACCGGUGGCGAAGGC